GACGAACGCUGGCGGCGUGCUUAACACAUGCAAGUCGAACGGUGAAGCGCCUUCCUUUUUGGUGGGUGUGGAUGAGUGGCGAACGGGUGAGUAACACGUGAGUAACCUGCCCCCUUCUUCUGGAUAACCGCAUGAAAGUGUGGCUAAUACGGGAUAUUCUGGGUCUGUCGCAUGAUGGGUCUGGGAAAGAUAUUGUUUCGGUGGGGGAUGGGCUCGCGGCCUAUCAGCUUGUUGGUGGGGUGAUGGCCUACCAAGGCGGUGUCGGGUAGCCGGCCUGAGAGGGUGGACGGUCACACUGGGACUGAGACACGGCCCAGACUCCUACGGGAGGCAGCAGUGGGGAAUAUUGCACAAUGGGCGCAAGCCUGAUGCAGCGACGCCGCGUGAGGGAUGGAGGCCUUCGGGUUGUGAACCCCUUUCGCCAGUGAAGCAGGCCUGCCUCGUUUGUGGGUGGGUUGACGGUAGCUGGAUAAGAAGCGCCGGCUAACUACGUG
rnacentral:rRNA from 1 species